AUUGAACGCUGGCGGCAGGCCUAACACAUGCAAGUCGAGCGGAUGAAGGGAGCUUGCUCCUGGAUUCAGCGGCGGACGGGUGAGUAAUGCCUAGGAAUCUGCCUGGUAGUGGGGGAUAACGUCCGGAAACGGGCGCUAAUACCGCAUACGUCCUGAGGGAGAAAGUGGGGGAUCUUCGGACCUCACGCUAUCAGAUGAGCCUAGGUCGGAUUAGCUAGUUGGUGGGGUAAAGGCCUACCAAGGCGACGAUCCGUAACUGGUCUGAGAGGAUGAUCAGUCACACUGGAGCUGAGACACGGUCCAGACUCCUACGGGAGGCAGCAGUGGGGAAUAUUAGACAGUGGGCGAAAGCCUGGUCCAACCAUGCCGCGUGUGUGAAGAAGGUCUUCGGAGUGUAAAGCACUUUAAGUUGGGAGAAAGGGCAGUAAGUUAAUACCUUGCUGUUUUGACGUUACCAACAGAAUAAGCACCGGCUAACUUCGUG
rnacentral:rRNA from 1 species